UAUGAAAGGGUUAACGAGGAAGAUGCUGUGUCUAAAAACUUAGUUUAAACUAACUUAAAGGUGAAGAGGCCUUUAUAAGAAAGAAGGACGACAAGACCCUAUGAAGCUUUAUCUUAUUAGGGAUUUGAAAGAUCCUUAUACGAUUUUGAUGGGAGAUCAGUAAAAAUAAGUCUUUUACCAUUAUUUUUAUCUUACAAGUGUUUCCUAAUUUUAUAUGUGUGACUAGCUACUCUAGGGAUAACAGCGCAAUUUCUCCCGAAAGAUGGUAUUGGAGGGGAAGAUUGCGACCUCGAUGUUGUC
rnacentral:rRNA from 1 species